rnacentral:rRNA from 1 species
AUUGAACGCUGGCGGCAGGCCUAACACAUGCAAGUCGGGCGAGCGGCGGACGGGUGAGUAAUGUAUGGGAAACUGCCUGAUGGAGGGGGAUAACUACGGUAACCGGUAGCUAAUACCGCAUACAAUCAGAUGGUCCCAGAGGGGAUGAGCGAGUAGGUGGGGUAAUGGCUCACCUAGGCGCCUAUUCCUAGCUGGUCUGAGAGGAUUAGCAGCCACACUGGAACUGAGACACGGUCCAGACUCCUACGGGAGGCAGCAGGGGUGAAUAUUGCACAAUGGGCGCAAGCCUGAUGCAGCCAUGCCGCGUGUGUGAAGAAGGCCUUCGGGUUGUAAAGCACUGUCAGCGAGGAGGCGUUACCCGCAGAAGAAGCACCGGCUAACUCCGUGCCAGCAGCCGCGGUAAUUC